CUACGGGAGGCUCCAGUGGGGAAUAUUGCACAAUGGGCGCAAGCCUGAUGCAGCCAUGCCGCGUGUAUGAAGAAGGCCUUCGGGUUGUAAAGUACUUUCAGCGGGGAGGAAGGGAGUAAAGUUAAUACCUUUGCUCAUUGACGUUACCCGCAGAAGAAGCACCGGCUAAAUCCGUGCCAGCAGCCGCGGUAAUACGGAGGGUGCAAGCGUUAAUCGGAAUUACUGGGCGUAAAGCGCACGCAGGCGGUUUGUUAAGUCAGAUGUGAAAUCCCCGGGCUCAACCUGGGAACUGCAUCUGAUACUGGCAAGCUUGAGUCUCGUAGAGGGGGGUAGAAUUCCAGGUGUAGCGGUGAAAUGUGUAGAGAUCUGGAGGAAUACCGGUGGCGAAGGCGGCCCCCUGGACGAAGACUGACGCUCAGGUGCGAAAGCGUGGGGAGCAAACAGGAUUAGAUACCCGGGUAGUC
rnacentral:rRNA from 1 species